UACGAAGGGUGCAAACGUUGCUCGGAAUUACUGGGCGUAAAGCGCACGUAGGCGGCUUUGUAAGUUAGAGGUGAAAGCCCGGGGCUCAACUCCGGAAUUGCCUUUAAGACUGCAUCGCUAGAAUUGUGGAGAGGUAAGUGGAAUUCCGAGUGUAGAGGUGAAAUUCGUAGAUAUUCGGAAGAACACCGGUGGCGAAGGCGGCCUGCUGGGCAGUUGCUGACACUGAGGCGCGACAGCGUGGGGAGCAAACAGG
rnacentral:rRNA from 1 species